GAGGAGAGAGGAGGCCGCUGAGGUGAUCAUUCAGGCUGCCACCCACUGGCCCCUGUCCCUGGGGAACAUGGCAGCUCUGGGGCAGGCUUCUCCUAGGACCCGGGAGCCCCAGUGGCCAGAAGUGUGACAAGGGCCUUCCAGACGAGUCUGCUGGCUUCCAGUUGCCCGAGAAACUAACCGAGCUGCAUUCCAGACUCCCUGGCACAGGGGGAAAGGUCUCCGAGGAGGGGAGCUGUGGGGCUGAACCUGACCUCCAGCCCAAUCAUCUUGAGGGAGAAGAUGGGCCAGCCCGGGCCCCGCGGGGACAAGGUCUCUGACACUCAGCUGUCUGGCGCUCUGGCCGCCCCCGACCGUGCCCCAGCUGGCGUCAUUCCCGGCCCUGAGGACUCGGACCUGGUGCCCUCUCUGACGCUGGCUGCAGCCCUGGUCCUCCUGUUCCUUCUGUUCUCCGUCUGGCUGGGAUGGGACCGGCCCCUCUGAGACUCCCGCUGAUGUGGGUUCCUGAGCGGGGGUCAGGGUAUCUAUCCCUGGGCAGGGUGUAGCCCAGCCUCCCAGCUGCGUCCUGGGCCAAACCCUGCAGCCAGCAGCUCAGCCCUUACCUGUGGCAGCCCCAGCAGGACCCCAGGAGGCCCCCAA